rnacentral:rRNA from 1 species
UGGAGGGUUUCCMCCUUCAGUGCUGCAGCUAACSCAUUAGCMYUCCGCCUGGGAGUACGGCSSCAAGGCUGAACUCAAGGAAUUGACGGGACCCGCACAAGCGGUGGAGCAUGKGUUUAUUCGAAGCAACGSGAAGACCUUACCAGGUCUUGACAUCCUUGACAAUCCUAGAGAUAGGACUUUCCCUUUCGGGGACAAAGUGACAGGUGGUGCAUGGUUGUCGUCAGCUCGUGUCGUGAGAUGUUGGGUUAAGUCCCGCAACGAGCGCAACCCYUAUUGUUAGUUGCCAGCAUUCAGUUGGSCACUCUAAUGAGACUGCCGGUGACAAACCGGAGGAAGGUGGGGAUGACGUCAAAUCAUCAUGCCCCUUAUGACCUGGGCUACACACGUGCUACAAUGGAUGGUACAACGAGCAGCAAGACCGCGAGGUCAAGCGAAUCUCUUAAAGCCAUUCUCAGUUCGGAUUGCAGGCUGCAACUCGCCUGCAUGAAGCCGGAAUCGCUAGUAAUCGCGGAUCAGCACGCCGCGGUGAAUACGUUCCCGGGUCUUGUACACACCGCCCGUCACACCACGAGAGUUUGUAACACCCGAAGUCGGUGAGGUAACCUUUUUGGAGCCAGCCGCCUAAGGUGGGACAGAUGAUUGGGGUGAAGUCGUAACAAGGUAACC